UACGGGGGGGGCAAGCGUUGUUCGGAAUUACUGGGCGUAAAGGGCUCGUAGGCGGCCAACUAAGUCAGACGUGAAAUCCCUCGGCUUAACCGGGGAACUGCGUCUGAUACUGGAUGGCUUGAGUUCGGGAGAGGGAUGCGGAAUUCCAGGUGUAGCGGUGAAAUGCGUAGAUAUCUGGAGGAACACCGGUGGCGAAGGCGGCAUUCUGGACCGACAUUGACGCUGAGGAGCGAAAGCCAGGGGAGCAAACGGG
rnacentral:rRNA from 1 species